CAUCGAUGAAGUGCAAGAGCUAGAAGCAGCAAUGCCUAACGAGACACUGGUUGCGGUUCGCAUCGCACACGAGCGUCGUAAGGUGACAGCGCAUACCCUCUGGAACCAUGGCUCUUGACACCGGUCCCAGGUCAUCCUCCCACGCGCGGUGCAAAAGGCAGGUACAACACUGCACAUGCUGCCAUGCGGUCCAUAGUGGUGCGGUACAUAGGGCUUCUUAAGAGCCGCUUCCGCUGCCUUCAGCGUUACCAUGCCCUUCACUACGAAACAGACCGUGCAGCCAACGUCAUUGCAGCAUGUGCAGUGUUGCACAGUCUGUGUCUUGAUGAAGGUGACAGCUUGUUUGAUGAUGACAAUGAAGACAACAGCAACAGCAGCAGUGAUGAUGACAACGGUGACCCCCUCAGACAGGGAGUUCCCAGAGUUAGGGCAUCACGUAUAAUCUACCUCCGUGGAUGUGCUGCCCGGGAUGGUGUUAUUAGCUUAUUCGACACAACGAGGCAGCAGCACCAGCACUCUACCUGAGAAGGGUGCGGAUGCAGCUGCGCUGGCAGCAACACCAAAAGCAACGCUAAGCAUGUGCCCGCAGCGUCAGGCACAUAUGCCUAAUAGAAAGGAGGAACAAAUGUGAAGAUGUUUCGGCAAUUGGCGAAUAGUCUGCAGUUUAUUUAUCCCACCUUUUUUUUUGUUUGUAAUGCGAGGGUUAAUGCCUCAAGACAUACAGAGGUAUGGGAUGCGGGUGAAUAAGGAUGAUCAAAUAAAUGAAACAAGAUUUGUGGAUCUCAUAAUGUGGCCCCUGCGUCCAAACAGUGUAAUGGCUAGGAUUAUGCGGCGAAAGUUCCGCUGCUGCGAGGUGUCGGAGCCUCGUCGGUUUCAACGCAGGGCAAACCCACAGCAGGUGGUGGAUGUCGGCGUCAGCAUUGCGUGACUUGCACACUGGACAUCCAGGGCGGAGAGACACCUGGUGAAAGUGCGGCCGCUUCCGAGUCACGGCAGCAGGGAGGGCAACCCGGACCCAGAUCCUCCGAAGCGCAACCUCCUCUGUACGGAAGUAUCCGAGUGGGCCUGCACCUGUAGAGACCAGCUGGACACCGCGGCCGGGCGCCCGAGGGCUAAAGAAGCCCAUCACGCCGCGGUCACCUCCAGCGUCGGUGGGACCGCACUUCCCGCGCAGAAAAGCUGCAAAG